rnacentral:rRNA from 1 species
UACGUAGGUGGCAAGCGUUGUCCGGAUUUACUGGGCGUAACGAGCGCGCAGGCGGUCGGAUAAGUCGGAUGUGAAAGCCCCCGGCUCAACUGGGGAGGGUCAUUCGAUACUGUUCGACUCGAAGGCAGGAGAGGGAAGUGGAAUUCCCGGUGUAGUGGUGAAAUGCGUAGAUAUCGGGAGGAACACCAGUGGCGAAGGCGACUUCCUGGCCUGUUCUUGACGCUGAGGCGCGAAAGCUAGGGGAGCAAACGGG